CAGCCGCCACGGUAAUACGUAGGUCCCGAGCGUUGUCCGGAUUUAUUGGGCGUAAAGCGAGCGCAGGCGGUUAGAUAAGUCUGAAGUUAAAGGCUGUGGCUUAACCAUAGUACGCUCUGGAAACUGUUUAACUUGAGUGCAAGAGGGGAGAGUGGAAUUCCAUGUGUAGCGGUGAAAUGCGUAGAUAUAUGGAGGAACACCGGUGGCGAAAGCGGCUCUCUGGCUUGUAACUGACGCUGAGGCUCGAAAGCGUGGGGAGCAAACAGGAUUAGAUACCCCGGUAGUCCCUGUCUCUUAUACA
rnacentral:rRNA from 1 species